AAUAGAUACCCUGGUAGUCCAUGCCGUAAACGUUGGGCACUAGGUGUGGGGGACAUUCCACGUUUUCCGCGCCGUAGCUAACGCAUUAAGUGCCCCGCCUGGGGAGUACGGCCGCAAGGCUAAAACUCAAAGGAAUUGACGGGGGCCCGCACAAGCGGCGGAGCAUGCGGAUUAAUUCGAUGCAGCGCGAAGAACCUUACCAAGGCUUGACAUGGACCGGACCGCCGCAGAAAUGUGGUUUCCCCUUUGGGGCCGGUUUACAGGUGGUGCAUGGUUGUCGUCAGCUCGUGUCGUGAGAUGUUGGGUUAAGUCCCGCAACGAGCGCAACCCUCGUUCUAUGUUGCCAGCGGUUCGGCCGGGGACUCAUAGGAGACUGCCGGGGUCAACUCGGAGGAAGGUGGGGACGACGUCAAAUCAUCAUGCCCCUUAUGUCUUGGGCUUCACGCAUGCUACAAUGGCCGGUACAAAGGGUUGCGAUACUGUGAGGUGGAGCUAAUCCCAAAAAGCCGGUCUCAGUUCGGAUUGGGGUCUGCAACUCGACCCCA
rnacentral:rRNA from 1 species